UUAAGUGUCAUUCGACUGCGCUCUCAGACGUUUUAAAAACUGCUUUUGCAUGAAGGGGUUUUUCUGUUAUGCCGCCGGCAGGCUGACCCUCCCGGGCGGUGAAGCCAAGGGAGGCGCUGCCGAAGCAACAAGGGUUUUCACAAAGGGUUCACCGUUCCGGCAUGCGCCCAAUUCAACUGGGGAUGCGUUCUGGCUUACGGGUGUUGUUUAGACGGCCCCCCGGGGCCCUUACUUUUUAAUGAUCCUUCCGCAGGUUCACCUACGGAAA
rnacentral:misc_RNA from 1 species